AUUGAACGCUGGCGGCAUGCCUUACACAUGCAAGUCGAACGGCAGCGGACCUUCGGGUGCCGGCGAGUGGCGAACGGGUGAGUAAUGCAUCGGAACGUGCCAUUGAGUGGGGGAUAACGUAGCGAAAGUUGCGCUAAUACCGCAUAUUCUGUGAGCAGGAAAGCAGGGGACCGCAAGGCCUUGCGCUCUUUGAGCGGCCGAUGUCAGAUUAGCUAGUUGGUGAGGUAACGGCUUACCAAGGCGACGAUCUGUAGCGGGUCUGAGAGGAUGAUCCGCCACACUGGAACUGAGACACGGUCCAGACUCCUACGGGAGGCAGCAGUGGGGAAUUUUGGACAAUGGGGGCAACCCUGAUCCAGCCAUGCCGCGUGAGUGAAGAAGGCCUCGGUUG
rnacentral:rRNA from 1 species